CACGGUGGGAUAGAUGAUUGGGGUGAAGUCGUAACAAGGUAGCCGUAUCGGAAGGUGCGGCUGGAUCACCUCCUUUCUAAGGA
rnacentral:rRNA from 1 species